ensembl:lncRNA
CCUUACCUGGAGCAAGGGACGCAACAAAAAAUCAGAUAACAGUCCAUGUUCUCAAGCAAAUGGAAGAGAUGGAAAAGUAACAAAUAAGAUAUAACAUUGUGAUAUAUAUGUGUAUAUAUGCAAUUAAUGAAAUGCUUAAUGGGACUUCAAAGUUUUUGAAGUUGGAGAAUUGUUAAAGUUGUUUAAUGUUUUCUUUUCCUUUUUCUCUUUAAAAGUGAAGAAAUCAUUGGAGUAAAAUUGUUUUGAGGAAAUCAUAAAAAAGGUUCUUUGGUUACAUAAACACACAUAAGGAUUUAUCCAUUAUUUUUAGAAAACUAUGAAAUCAGCAAUGAAACAAUGCAGAUGCUGCAGACUGAGAAAUUAAAGAGCAUCUUGAAGAAGCUGGUUAGAAGCAAGCAUGAGUUUCUUUGGUUUGGAGGAAGGAUUUCUGGCAGAAGUGACAAGCGAUCACCAGGACUGCUUACAGAACAGAGGCAUACUGUGGCCCGACAGAAGUUGCUUGCCAGCGGAGGGAUCUCAAACAGAGCAGAGCUCUUUUUAUUGAGGUUUGUUGAAGACGGAAGAAAGACUAUGGAGUUUGAAAAAGGUGUAAGGAGGAAUUAUUUGGAACGAAGGGAACCUGAGCUGAUGCCACUCCAAAUGGAUGGGAAGAGGAGAGCCAAUUCUGACUUCUGUGGUGCCUCUUACGAUGUACACGGGGCACAAAAAAGAGUCACGCGCUACUGAGGCCCACAAUGUCGGGACUGCUGUUUCACAGAGGCAAAGUUAGAGACACACAUACCAGAAAAAUGUACAUUCCACCUAAGAGUUGGGGAAAUGUUGCCACCAACACUUUCGCCCUCCUUUUUGGGUCUAUAUUUCACUCACUUCUUUUGAAGUGUUUGGUUUUGCAAGAUACAAAAAGUGACUGAGGUGCUGAAAAUUCUCCGUGUAAGUGAGAGAGAGUUUCCCAAAGAAAAGAGUAGGAAACAGCAGACUAGAAGCUUUGAAAGAAGUGUCUGAGUGGAUAGGAACUGUGGUGGGUAUAAAGAUUGUCUUGCCAAACACCCACUUCCAAUGUCUUCUGAUAUGCUUUCUUGGAUUUUAGGCACUAGAAAGCUAAUGAAAAAAAAUCUAUUUUGUGGAUGUCCUCAUUGCUAAGGUCCUAGAAGUAAUUUAAUCCCUGUCAAUCUUGUGAACUGAGUUAAGUGGAGUAGCGAAAAAAUGUGAGGCAUCUGUUAUGCUGGAGAGAGAUGAUUUCAGAGCCAACAGUCAUUGCAACGACUCAAUGAUUUGGCCAACCAUUGUCUGUUUAGCUUUUUCCUGAUCUUGGUACAGGUGGUAUCGUUCUGGAGGUAGUACCUGUGGGGGAAGUUCUCUGAUUCUGCAGCUUCCUGAUCAGUGUUAGAAGUAGCAUCUAUCUUGGUAGUACAGUUCUUUGCUACGUUGUUGUUGGAAGCUCAACCUAUAGUCCCUUUUUUCAGCCCUUUUAACAAUUCUGUGACAUAUUUAUACUCUUUAAUAGUUUUAUUAAACUAGUUAGAGUAAUAUAAUUUGUCUGAAAUUAAGAACUUGUUGGAAGAUAAUUCUCCAGGGGUCUCCCCUAUUUUUGCUCAUCUUGCUGCCUUUCUUCCUUACUAUCUUUUGAAAGAUGUUGACAUAGUGAACAGCCUUGGGAGAUAGUGAUAGUGUGUUCCUCUAGUGCAAAGAGUAGGAUGCUUACUGUCUAAUAGAAUAAAGCCGUGAUGUUGUGAGCUGCCUUAUAGAGAGGCCCUCACGGUAACAAUCUGAGGGUGAUCACCAGUCAACAGUCAAGAAGAAAUAAGAUCUUAUAGUCCAAUAACCUUCAAGGGAUUGUGCCCCGUCAACCGUAACAUGAGUGAGCUUGGAAGCAGUUCCUUCCCCAGUGAGCCUUGAGACUAAAGCCACCCUGUGAAAUGUUGAUUGCACUCUUAUGAGAGGCUCUGAAGUGGAGGACCUCGAUAGCUGUGCAUGGAUUCCUGACCUACAGAUACUCUGAGGUAGUCAAUGCUGCUGUUUUAAGCUUCUAAAUCAAGUGGUAACUUAUUACACAGUAAUAGACAACUAAAAUAUUCCCUAUCUGAGCUUCUGGCACUGGUUGAUGGAUGGCACACUGAUCUCUGAGUCAUUGUUUAGAGAAAAGCUGCCUGACCAGGAACACCUGUUUUGGACUUUUAUGGGACUGAGAAUUUAAUUGCUUAAGCCACUGAGUUUGGGGAUGGGAAAAUAGAGCAGCUAAAAUUACCUUAAUAAUGUAAUCUGCUUUGUCUUCCUUGUUGUGUUUACUUGUUAUAUUUACUUAUUAUCUUCCUGACCCUAUAGCAUGCUAUGUAGAGCCCCCUCUUUUUCAGAAUGAUUAUUUUUAAUCUUUUCAAUUUUUUGUCCUCCAUUAACUUGAAAGUUACACAUUCUACUUCUAUUUUUCUAGUGCUUGCCCUUAACCUUCUAAUGUAUGUCCAUAAUGGGGUCACUGAAUGAGCAGGAUUCAUACCUCGUGAUCAGAAAGCAACUGUAUGUUUGUCUUCUACUACUCAUUAAAAAUUGACUCAAUGAGGAAAGUUCACUCCAGUUCGAGAUAAGAAUGCAGGUAAUCCAUGACUUAUCUGACAAUUCUUAGGUAAAACAAUGUCUUAUAGUCACUUUAAACUAAAACAAAACAAAUAAAACAAAUAAGAAAGGGUCUGGCAUAUGUGCAAGUUCCUCAGAUGUUUCUCAUCCACUCAGAGUUUGAGAACCACACAAUACAUAGUCUUGACUUAGAAAUUAGAAAGCCAAUCCAAUGUAUUAAUUUCUAUAUUAGUCAUCAUUUAAAGACACACUCCAGCCCCCGAGAUGGGCUGCCCUCUGCUGGAAAAGGAGUACAGUACGAACUCUCGCUUCAGGAGCCUUGUGUCCAUUCCUCCAUCUCUUUCUUCCUGACAAGUUUCUGGUCCAUCUAAUCUCAAAGCAAAGGAGAGAAGACUGAACAGAGAGCAGGAAAGUUCUUGUUUGCCUGUCAUGAUUAACGUUUGACGUGUACAUUUUGUUAAGAUAUUAAACAGUUUAAUUAUCUUGCAUGUGAAGAAUAUAAGACCUUUGGAAUGUUUUAGCUCCAUUAUCCUGUCCAAUCAUGCAUAUUCUUGUUGUCUAAUAUCCUAGCUUAUCUAACUUUUUAAUCUAACCAAAUUAGUUGUUGUUAUCAUUAUCAUUGUAUAUAGUCAAAGUUUUCUUCUUGAAGCUUACUCAUGUUUCUCAAUUGUUUUGUUUAGUAUUAAUAUUUACAUUUUAUUGCAUUUCAGAAGUUUUCCAAUGGCAACUAGACUUUUGGUGGUGAAUAUGAUGCAGUUUAUACAGAAGUCAAAAUAUAAUGAUGUAUGUCUGAAAUUUUUAUAAUAUUAUAAACCAAUGUUACCUC